rnacentral:rRNA from 1 species
GACGAACGCUGGCGGCGUGCUUAACACAUGCAAGUCGAACGGAAAGGCCCUGCUUUUGUGGGGUGCUCGAGUGGCGAACGGGUGAGUAACACGUGAGUAACCUGCCCUUGACUUUGGGAUAACUUCAGGAAACUGGGGCUAAUACCGGAUAGGAGCUCCUGCUGCAUGGUGGGGGUUGGAAAGUUUCGGCGGUUGGGGAUGGACUCGCGGCUUAUCAGCUUGUUGGUGGGGUAGUGGCUUACCAAGGCUUUGACGGGUAGCCGGCCUGAGAGGGUGACCGGCCACAUUAGGACUGAGAUACGGCCCAGACUCCUACGGGAGGCAGCAGUGGAGAAUAUUGCACAAUGGGCGGAAGCCUGAUGCAGCAACGCCGCGUGCGGAAUGACGGCCUUCGGGUUGUGAACCGCUUUCGCCUGUGACGAAGCGUGAGUGACGGUAAUGGGUAAAGAAGCACCGGCUAACUACGUG